AAGAAGGAGAAAAAUGACUGCUACUGCUGAACCCAGGACACAUAUUUAAAAAUGUGACAGUCACCUGUUGGAUAUGGGGCUGACUGACUGCAUGAUGCCUCUGGGACACUUGAAUUGCUAUUCUGUGGCUUCUACAAGCCUAAUCACCCCCUGCUCACUGCUUGGUGUUGUGGAGCUUCUGCAAUGGGUUCUGGAAUUGGAUGAAAGAUCAUUCCAUCUGUAUGUUGAGCAUGCCAGACCCUGCAGGUUACCUUGAAACUUCAAAUCCAACCUGUGCUGAGGUUAUAAGUGAGUACUGUGGUACCACUUGAAGUGGUCCAAGAUAACAUGCACACAUUCUAUUUUUCCUGGUUAUGUUGUUUCACUGAUGGUGUGUGUUGCUUAAACUUGUCUACUAUAGGCUGUGUUUCUUUAGAGGACUUUGACAAACAGUCUAAGUACUGACAUUAUCUGUUGUGUAAAACCCAGUCUUUUUUUCCUUUUUUGUUUCUGUGUGGACAAACAGCAGAAAUCUCUAACACAGAGUCUCUGCCGUGAUCUCUUGCUGUUUUUCACUGAAAGGGAGAUGAGGGUUGCGAGUCUUCAGUGAAAGCUUCACAAUGUUAACUGACCAUAUCCAGAGGGCCAAGUGAA